ACAACUCAAACAGGUAUGGACUCUCUGUUCGGCAAGCUUACAACUGAUGUCCCCUUUGGAUAGUCCUUUUCUACUAGUACAAGAUAAUUGGCAAAGAAUUCUCUUACCCAAUUUGGUUGAAACACUGCUGGUGGUCUGCUCAUCCAUGCUAGUUCAUACUCAUUAAAAUGGGGUUCCAACUCAGGAUACUCAAGUAGCUUCGUUUUCACACUCUGAUGUUCCUCUGCGAAUGGCCUUUUUAUCUCUCUUUCUGUAGGUGUCAAUCAGUCAUAGUUUCUCUCAUGCUCCCUGUAUCUUCCAUCUAAUCACCUCUCAAACUUGAUAAUCCUUACGCCUGAUAACAUUGGCAUCCUCAGGUUCAUUAUCCACAUCAGUUGCUUCCAUUUGUUCUACCACAUUGGCAGCUUUAGUUUCACCUACAGUAGGCGCAGGUUGACAUAUAGUAACCGUUGCUUCGUCUGGGCUUGAGCUGGUACUGAUUGUACUACUGUCGCUCUCCUCUUUAGUCUACAAAAGUAUUAGAGGUUCCCUUUCCUAUUGCCUGGUAUUGUAAGAAGGUGCAGGUUCGUCUCUACCUCUUAAGGAUCUUCUUCCUCUGUUUAGUAGUAGUUUACGAGCCAUAUUGCCUGAAAUAGAAGUAAGGAAUUAGUUUAUAAUGCAAAAACCGCCUAACUAGUGAAAACUUAGACUUGACAUCCACACUGGUGGUCCAUCGGGUAACUGGUGGUUUGCCAAGUGCGCCGUCAGGUCUUACCAAAAGUCCUAAAAAUUCAGAGAGUUGCAAUAGUUCAUAUGGGGGUAUGCCGCAAAGUUGACGGUCCACCACUUUGACCGUUGCAUCUUAACCAGUGGGUGUCAUUUAUGGGGUUCUUGCAACAGUCUAUUUCUUGGUCCGUCGCAAAGUUAACGGUUCACCAUUUCAAUCGUCACACCUCCUUCUUCAGAUCCAAGAUUCAAUUCGGCAUUUUGUCGAACAUUUAGCAUGCAAUCCCUAUUUUUCUAGCAAAAAUUGACACCAACUUCACAUUUAUGCACACAAAUCCAUACUUUUGAGCAUAAGGUUACUUAGACGUCGCCCACAUAGAGUAUAUUAUCAUUUUGGACUCAAAACAAGUUAAAACAAAAGAACAAAACAAGAUGAACUUUUAUCAACCAACUAAUUAUUCAUUUCAUGUUGUAUCAGUUCAAAAAUAAAAUACAUGGAGUUAUUCAUACCUUGAUUUUGCAGAAGUUACUCUUUUACUUGCUUGCAAAUGUUGAAAACAAACUUAACUUACAACUCUACAAUUUCAUUCAAGAAUGUUUGAGAUGAAGAUAAAGAGGUGAGGUGGUCACUUAAAUAGGGGAAAAGGGAGUAGAUAAAGAGUCCCAAGAAAAGAAACUGCCUUUAGAUUUCUUCGAAUCCAAAGGAAUUUGGUCAGUUGAAAAAAGCAUACAACAUAUGUAACCGCUCNNNNNNNNNNNNNNNNNNNNNNNNNNNNNNNNNNNNNNAUAAAUAAAUAACAAUUUUUAACCUAACCUGACCUAGUGUUUGGGUAACAACAAUGACAACUAUGAUGGAACACCAUUUGGGCUAUCGCUCCCUACCAGAACAUGAUCACUUAAGUUUAAUUUCAACGGUCCAAGUGAUGGUCAACCAAAUUUGUAAUGGUCCAGCACUUUUGGCCGUCGCACCUUACUAGAACAUGGUCACUCAGUUUAAUUUUGAUGGUCAAAGUGAUGGUCCACCAAAUUUGUGACGGUCCACCACUUUGGCCGUUGCACCUUACCAAAGCCUGGGCAACUCAGCUUGAUUUUUAUGGUCAGUGUGGUGGUCCACCAAUUUAGUGACCGUCCACCACUUUGGCCGUCAACUUUUUCCAGUGAAUGAAUUUUUUAGCUUCUUUGCAAUAGUUGAAAUAGUGGUCUGAUAGGUGACUGGUGGUCCACUAAUUUGGCCGUCACUUUUGUUCUAGUAGCUCAGAUUUUCCCCCCUUUUCCAAUUGUAUACUUCUUUUUGCUGCGUUUUAAAUCCUUCACACUUUAAAAAGACAUAAAAAGUGCACUAGAAUAACAAAAUAUUUUAACUAAUGCUUUACAACAACACAUUAUGGGUUGCCGCCCACUAGCGCCUGAUUUAUUAUCGCGGCAUGACUCAGUUAUCUCAAUUAUUCAAACUUCAACGAGAUAGACAGUAUCAAUAUACCUUAUCGAGUCCAUUGGACCGAUAUACAGUUUCACACGCUGCCCAUUUACCUUGAAGAUAAUUUCGUCUUCAUUUUCAAGUUCCAUUACUUUAGAUGAGUAGACUUGACUCACUUUAAAUAGGCUGGACCAUUUGAAUUUGAGCUUACCUAGAAACAAUUCGAGUCUGGAGUUGAACAGAAGCACUAAGUAAUCUCUCUAGAAAUCCUAUUUUUCAAUCCUGUGAUUGUGGUAAUUCUUCAUUCUUUCCUUGUAUAGAUCGACCCAAUCAUAAGAUCAAAGAUGGAAGUCAUCCAUCACAUUCAGCUACCCCAAUAUCAUAUUCGUUGCCUCAUUCUAAUUCAAGUUAAGACACUUCUGUGCCUCAACAAAUGACAUGCCUUGCCAUAAACCAAUUAGUAUGGUGACUGCCAAUAGGUGUCUUGAAAGCCGUUUGACAUGCCUAUAAGGCAUUAUCCAGCUUCCUAGACUAAUCCUUUCUCUAGUAUUUAUAGUCUUGGCAAGGAUAGCUUUGAUUUCCCAAUUAGAUAUUUCUACCUGACCACUGGUUUGCGGGUGGUAUGGUGUAGCCACUUUAUGAUGCUUAAAUCCGUAUUUUGCCAAGGAAGCUCUGAACAGCUUGUUGCAAAAGUUUGAUCCUCCAUCACUGAUGAUGGUACAUGGUACCUCAAAGUGAGAGAAGCUGUUUUUCCUUAGGAAUGCAACAACUCUCUUCUCUUCAUUAUCUGCCAGAGCCACUACCUCAACCCAUUUGUCACGUAGUCAACGACCACUAAUAUAUACUUCAUCCUAAAUCAUCUCACGAAGGGCCCCAGGAAAUCAAUGCUCCAGACAUUGAAUAAUUCUACCUCCAGUAUUUUAGACAUUGGCAUCUCAUGGUGCUUUGAGAUGGACCCUUGCCUUUUACAUUGGUCACACCACUUUACGAACUCGUAGGCAUGUUUAAACAAAGAGGGCUAAUAGUAGCCACUCUGAAUCACUUUUCUUGUAGUCCGAUUACCUGCAUGGUGAAAUCCAACUAGGGAAGCAUAACUCUCUUCCAGUAUACUCAAUAUAUCUACUUCUGAGAUGCCCCAUCUAAUAAUACCAUCUGCACAUCAUUAAAAAGAUAUGGCUCAUCACAGAAGUAAUGGGUCACAUCAUGGAGAAACUUUUUUUUCUUUGAUGAAAGGAAAGAUUCUCUAGUAUCACCUAGCUCACCAUAUUAUUUGCGAAAUCAGCAUACAAAGUUAUUUUCUCCAUAACAGCAGCCAAGAUAUCCUCAUCUACAAAUGCAUUAUUUAUCUCAAAUUCAGCUCUAACUGCUUGUUCACUUUCCAGCCUAUACAUAUGAUCUGGAACUUGGUUUUUGCAACCUUUUCUAUCUUUGACUUCAAAGUCAAAUUCUUGAAGUAGCAGCACCCAUCUAAUCAACCUUGGUUUUGCAUCCUUUUUUGCCAUCAAAUAUCUCAAGGCUACGUGGUCGAUGUGGACCACCACCUUGGUUCCUUGCAAAAAAGCUCAAAACUUCUUAAAAGCAUCGACUACUGCAAGAAGUUCAUAUUUUGUGAUAGUGCUAUUCUUUUGAGCUCCAUUCAUCCCUUUGCUAGCAUAAAAGAUUGGAUGAAACAAUUUGUCUUUUUUUGCUCUAGCACAGCUCCAAGAGCAACAUCGCUUGUAUAACACAUGAUCUCAAAUGGUUUUGACCAAUUUGGUGCAACAAUAAUAAUAGCAUCAACUAGCUUCCCUUUAAGUCAUUCAAAUGCCUUCAAGCAAUACUCAUCAAAGGAAAAUUUGACUUCCUUCUUCAAAAGUUUGCAAUCUUUGAGAAGUCCUUCAUAAACCUCCGAUAGAAACCAGCAUGACCAAAGAAACUAUGCAUCCCUUUCACUAAAAUAGGAGAUGGAAGCUUCUCUAUAACCUUAACUUUAUCUCGAUCAACUUCAAUCCCCUUUGCUGAAAUUUUAUGCUCAAGAACAAUGCCCCCCUUCACCAUAAAGUGGCAUUUCUCCCAACUAAGCACAAGAUUGAACUCCUUACACCGCUGCAUAGCCCUACUUAGAUUUACCAAACAUAGCUCAAACAAAUCUCCCACCACAGAAAAUCAUCCAUAAACACCUCCAAGGUAUCUCCAAUCAUAUCUAAGAAAAUAGACAUCCUGCACCAUUUAAAGGAAGCGGGUGCAUUACAUAAUCCAAACGGCAUCCACUUAACUAAAAAAGUACUGUAUGGGCAGGUGAAUGUCAUUUUUUCCUAAUCCUCUGGGGCUAUAGAAAUCUGAUUGUAACCAGAAUAACCAUCCAAGAAACAAUACCAACCUCUUCCCACCAACCGAUCAAGCAUUUGAUCCAUGAAAGGAAUUAGUAAGUGGUCCUUUAAUGUACACGAGUUGUGUUUUAUGUAAUCCAUACACACCCUACAUCCAGUAACAGGACUAAGUGGAAUCAACUUUUUCUUCUCCUUAGCCACCACUAUCAUGCCCCUUUUCUUUGUCAAGCACUGAACAGGACUUACUUUUUAUCUGAGAUGGGGUAUGCCACUCCUGCAUCUAGCCACUUGAUGAUUACUUUCUUCACCACCUCUUGCAUAGGUGGGUUAAGAUGAUGUUGAUGCUCAAUAGUUGGGACAUAAUCCUCUUCUAGCUAGAUUUUGUGUGUGCAUAUACCAGGAGGAAUACCCAUAAUGUCUGCAAUCAUCCAACCAAUAGCCCUCUUAUAUCUCUUAAGAAUAGAGAUGAGGGCUUCCACCUAUUUCUUACCUAAGUCAGCCACAAUAACAAUAGGUAAUGUAUUCCUGCUUCCCAGGAACACAUAUCUCAAAUAACCGGGCAACUCUUUCAGCUCCAAAGUGGGUGGCUUUUCAAUAGACGACUUGGCUGGUGGACUGGGACAAUUUUUCAAGUCCAAAUCCAGCUUCUUGGGUGCAUAAGAAUAAGAACCCAUGCAUGUCAAGGCUCACACAGUCUUGUCAUAAUCUUCAAUACCGUCUUGAUCAAAAUUCAUUAAUACAGCUACUAAAGUCUCUACAAUAAUUUUUUCCUCUGUAGGUACUUCCUGCUCCUCCUCCUAAUAAAUAUCCACUAGAGAAAAUACGCUCAUAUCUAAAUGUUGUCCAAUAGACUGGCAUACAUCGAUUUGAACUACUUCAUUAUUCAGCCUUAAGAUUAGCUCAUUUUCCUUUAGAUCAAUAAGUACACUGCCGAUUGCAAGGAAAGGUCUACCCAAGAUUAUGGGCACCUCAAAGACAACCUCGCAAUUAAAAAUGACACAAGCAGUUGGAAAUAUGAAACUGGACACCUUAACUAAUACGUUAUAUAGAAUCCUACGAGCUGCAUCACAAACCUAUCUGCCAUAAAUAAUCCCAUAUUUAUGGGAUAAGGAUCCCCCAAACCCAGCUUCUUAUAGAUAGAAAGCGGCAUCAAAUUUAUACUGGCUCCCAAAUUACAUAGAGCUUUUGGGAAAUCAAGAGGACUAAUAGUGCAUGAGAUAGUAAAUGCUCCCGAGUCUGCCUUUUUCUACACCAAUGACCUUGUGGAAAUAUCACCACAAUAAUGGAGAUUGUCCACCCUCAUAACUAACUGUCCACUUCUUCGUAACAAGGUCUUUCAUGAAAUUUGCGUACCCAAGCAUUUUUUCUAAUUCCUUUACUAAUGGUAAGUUAAUUUUCAACUGAUUAAGCAUAGCCAUAAACUUGCAAAACUUUAUGUCAUCAGCCUUUGUUUUUAAUUUAUGGGGAAAUGGAGGAGUUGGUUUUGGGAGCAUAGUAACCUCCACUUUUGUCUCUUUUCCCUUGCUCUUCUCCAACUUAUCACCCUGUUGAUAGUUGGAUAUUUUAUUAUCAAUAACUUAAUCCAGUUUCUCAAACUCAAUUAGAUAAUUUUUUUCAUGCUCAAUAUCCUUUGCAAUCACAGUUUUGCCCACAGAUGGGCCUGGUAACCUUACCACUUUAUGUGGUAAUUGCCAUGUAGGAGCCAUCAUAUUUAGGAUUCUAAACUAUAUUAUAUGGCAAAGUUCUGAUCUUUCUCUGAUAUAAUGCUACUGAGAGUUGGCUCAUUUGCCACUCUAACUGUUUGAUGGAAGUAUUGUGUUAGUUUACAAACUGACUCAGGAAGACAAAUCACUCUUCAUAGUAGUCAUCCUAGAGUUGGUAGUAUCAACUCUCUUCAAUAAUUUCUUCAUCAUGUCCUCCAUGGACAUCUUUCUAGAGGUAGUUAUAGCAUUGUCUCUGCUUCCACGAGGUAUAUAUAGUCCACUCCUAUCAUUUUUCCUCUUCUUGUUCCCUUAAUCUCUAUCUUUGUAACCAGCUUUGUCGUAAUAGUUUCUUCCUUGAUUUCCUUGCCUAUUACCUUAGAAACCCCCUAAUUAUUUAGAUAGUUUGGCUCUUCUUCUGAAUCAAAGUCAUCUCGUCCCUUGGAUGCAAAAACUUUCACCUUCUCCGUUUUUCCAGACAAUAGAUGCUUAGUUAGCAAAUCCAUCUGUGUCUUUAAAUGUGUCAUAUCUUCAUCACAUUCUUCCUCCUUCUAGUAUUUCUCUGUAGUCAGACACAGUAGGGAUUAGUACCACAGAAUCCCUUUUAUGCUAAGCUUUACUUUGUUUGGUUAUUCGAUCACGCAUCUCUGAAGCCUCUGAAAAAGUGAGGUCAACAAAUGACCCUCCUACAAUAUUAUCCAUAACUGGCUUCUUAAUAAAGUUCAAAGCCCUAUAAAGAGUCUUUAUAAAAUGAAUAUUUGUCAUGUUAUGGUUCGGGCAUUACAUCAACUUCUUUUUAAACCUCUCCCACAUCUCAUGAAGAGCUUCAGUGGGAAGCGAUCGAAAGUUACUGAUUUCAUCCCUCAACUGUACCCUCCUAGAGGGUGGAAAGAACCUUUCUAGGAAAUCCUUAUCAACUGCCUCUAGUUGGUUGUAGAGUUGGGAGUUAGUUCAUUUAGCCAUAGCAUCACCUUCCCAGAUAGAGACAAUGGAAACAAAUAUAGGCGGAUAGCAUUCUGACCCACUCCUGGAUUAUCAAAAGACUUGCAAAUGGUGACAAAGUUCACCAAAUAUAUUUUUGGAUUAUCUCCUGGAAGACCACUGAGCAACCCCUUUAGAUAAAAGAGUUGAAUCAUUAUAUAAUAAUAUAACAUUUAGCUCCUGGUGCUAGAGGUGGAGGAAUGAUAGCUUCAGUUGCACCUACUCCAUCCAUUCCAUCUAUGUCGUCAUUGAGAUUAAACUGCAAGAGUUUACAUUCUUGCCUUACCCUAAAGGGGUGAUUCUAUUUACAUUCCAAUUCACUGGUGAAACCAUAUUCUCUACACGCCUUGGGUUAACAGGAUCAAAUAAAUCGUCAUCCCCCAACUCAUCAUCAUCAAGAUUAGGAUGACGCACUUGCUGGUCGUUAUUCUAUUGAUUUAGUUGAGCUCUAGCUAGAGCAGCUAAUCUUUCAGUAUCUUGGGGGUCUACCAUUAUUCCAAUUAAUUAUGGUUACAAAUGUAUUGGUAAUAAUGGUGCACCUGAUUUCUUGGUACUUGGCAUACACAAUAACUACCAUGCACAGAACACAAACAACAAACAAAAGUAAAAUUUGAGAAACUUGACCAAAGGUCAAUUAAUAAACACAAACUUAAUUGACAAUCGUAUUCCCCGACAACGGAGGCAAAAUUUGAUACGCCCAAACUAUAACCCUCAUUAAAGUGUAACCGAUUAGUGUAAAAAAUAGAAGCCAACUAGGAUGGGUUUUGAAUCUCACAGGGAAUACUGUGUUCACUAAGUAUUGUGGUUAUUACUGCACUGUUGAUCGAAGGUUCCAGAAAAGAGGGGGAUUUUGAUUUAUCAAUUUUAUUCAAAUGUUUGUCACAUAAAGUAAUCCAAAUGUAGGUUAUAUUACUAAUAUUAAUUAAAUAAGAGAAGUAAAACUAGAGUUAUGGCUACCAAGAUGCUUAAGCAUCUAGGGUUGUGAGCUAUUUUGGAUUUACAAUGAACAAUUCUUAUUGCAAGAGUAAUUGAAUUUUAUGAUUUACCCAUCAGUUUAUCAACCUAAAUGAGUAACUUAUCCCUUAAUUAUUUCAAACUUAAUUAACUUAGUCUUAAUUCUACUAUAGUCUCACAUGGGUUGAUACGAUUAAGGUAUCUACACUCUAUCCAAAGGUUAAAGACUUUAGAUUUAUGUAAACCCUUUCUUCUCCCAACAAGCACUUUUCUAUUUGAACAAGUGUUGUUCUUAGGCUCACUUUUCAAGUUUGUAACCAAGAAAAGUCAUUAAAGUGAAGAAGAGUAUGCAAUAUAAAUUAAUCAUGGGAAUCUACUAGAUUCACAACCCAAAAUCAAGUUUUAAUAUCAAGGCUCCCAUAACACUAGUUAUGGGAGCUUAGCCACACAUUUUAACCCAUGAAAGAGAAGAAAACAUUGUGUUAUUCAUAAAUUAAUUCAAAGUUUACUUACAAAAAGUUUACUUACAAAAAGUCAUAAUUGUUGUUCUUUAAUAUUCAAUAGAAAAUAUGAUAAAUAAAUCUAGAUCCAGACAUAUCCAAUGAAUCUUAGAGAAAAACUAUAUAACAAUGUAUUUUUUGUAUGAAAAACCUAGUAAAAAAUUAACAGAUAGAAAGAAAGAUCCCUAAUAAAACCUAAGAUUGGGUAUUUAUAUGUUCCCUGGUAAAAAGAAUUUAAAAUUCAAAAUCAUAAAAUCUACGUCCAAAGUGAUGGCUAAAGUGGUGGUCCGUCGGAUGUCUGACGAUUCACCAAAUUAGCCUUCGAUGAUGGUCCUUGAAAGUCUAGUUCUGGUUGAGUAUGAUAGUUAAAGUGGUGGUUCAUUGGAAGUGUGGCAGUCCACCAUAUGAGCCAUCGCUGAUGGUCCUGAAUAGCCUAAUUUUUCUUAAAACUGACGACCAAAUUGGUGGUCCAUCAAAAGACUGAUGGUCUACCAUAUGGGCCGUCAUUGUGGUCCUGGAAACAUGGGUUCUAUUUAGGCCUGACGGUUGAGUUGGUGGUCCGUUGCAAGACUGACGAUCUACCAUAUGGGCCAUCCUUAGUGUUUCUGGAUGCCUUGUUUUGUAUAACACUGACGGUUAAACUGGUGGUCCAUUGUAAAACUGAUGUUCCGGUAUGUUGACCGUCAGAAGUGUUUUUCUACUAAUUUUCUAAGUCUUUUCCCUCAGCUGGCUCCUUACCCUGAAACACUAAAAACAGUAUUAAAUGCAACCUUGGUUGCUUGAAAACAAGCAAUUUUCCCAAGAAAAAGAUGAAAAAUAUUUCGUCAAAAGCCGGAACAUCAUCCCUACAUGGGAAUUUUAUGAAAAUUUGGACACGAAACACAAUAUUUAAUAUAGGUAUCAUUGUUCUCAUUUUGAUGAGUAAAUUAUGAUUUUUAUAGCGUAGCACCUUGUUGAGGCUUCUUAAAAGGGGAAAUAUGAUCUUUUAUGAUUGAUCUUGUGCUAAAAAUAUGAUAGUGUGUGAGGUUGGGGAUACUUAUCAUGAACCUACAGAUGGUAUGAUUAAGUGACUCAAUCGAUAAAGAUGACCAAUUAGAGAAGGAGAUGAUUUCUACUUGUUCUUUAAGGAAAAUCAUUGGGAUCUUUCUAAAGAGGAUCUUGAUGAAAAUGUGAACCACUUCCAUGCAAGGUUCAACAUAAUGGAUAGAGUAUGAUCCUAGGUCAUUGAUUAGGAGUAGUAAUAAUGUAGUGAGUUGAACCAUGGUUGAGAGAAUGAAGCUUCCUACUCAAAGACGGGCCCAAAGUAUAUAAACUUCAAUGUCUCAUUAAGAAUGGUGAACUGGUGGUAACAAAUAAAGUGGUAAUUAAUUUUACAUUGGCAAGUAUCAAGAUGUGUUAUGUGAUGUUUUUCCUAUGUAUUUUAACAUAUGUUGCUUAUAGACCUUGGUUAGUCAACAAAGAUGUCCAAUAUCGAGUGUAAAUCCAAAGACUUAUUUGUAUUUACAAGAGGAAAGCACACUCCUCUCACCUUAACACCAUAUCAAGUAAGUGAGGACUACAUGAUAAUAAGAGAAGUCUAGGAAGUACUUAAGAGGGAAAAAAUUGAGAAGAAAGGGAAAAACACUGCUUAAGAAAAAGAUUUGUGUGAGAUUAAUUAGAUAAGAAGAUACUUGAAGGGGGUGGGCAAGGAAUACUUAGUUGAGAGACUUGUCAAUACCAACCCACUUGUUACAGUCUAACGAUAGUACUGGUGUUUUGCCCAGUUAAUUCCUUCCCUUUUGUAGUUUCACAAAGAAAUACUUCUGAAGGAAAAUAUGAAGAAAAGUCCUUAUAAGCAUGGGAUUGAAGCAUCCAACCCCAUGGAUUAAAAGAGAAGUUACCUACCAACGAAGUGAGGAGUCUGAAUAAACUCCCACGGGUUGAUGGAUUCUUAAUGGUAAGGGGUGAAGCAUCUAACCCCAUGGAUUAAAAGAGAAGUUACCUACCAACGAAGCUCAUACAAAGAAGAGAGGUGACCAAUCCUAUUGAUACAAAAUGAUACAGGAAAAGUAAGGUCCUUGUGAAGUACAUAUAGAGUCAAAACAAGUUCAAAACCUUUUUCCUAAGGUAUGUACCUACCCUUUUCUAUUCCUAGUGAUCCUUAGAGUCAUAAUGAUAUUUCCAUUAUGGUAAGUAGGUUUUUCAAAAUAAGUGAACUCCAACAACACCAUGAUAAGAUUUAAGUCUCUAAGAUUCUUUCAUGGUCUAAUUUAUUUAUACUAAAUUGUGUGAGCUCUAUGUUUUUUAUACUGACUAUGGUUGUUGUUUGAGAAAGAAUCCAUGGUGCUUCAGUAAUGGCCAGUGUAUAUUUUUUACAUUUUUUCACUUUGUAUGUGGGUAGAUAUGUUGAUGUGUUAGGAUUGAUUGAUAUAAGAAUGAUAAGAUUAUUGGACAUAGGUAACGCCUCCUAUAGCUCCUUAGGUCUCUCAAGAAAGAUGGUUUCGAUUGUUGAUAACUUCCUUUGAAAGGUUGCUUAAGAAAGAAAGUUGUGUUGUACUUUAAAUGUCCUACCUUAACUCUUGUGUUCAAAAUAGUAAAUACUUUCUUGUUAAAAUUCAAACCUUAAGGUGUGUAUUUAUAAUAGAGAACCCUCGGGAUGAGUUGAAUACCUUUCACUUCUUUCUUUAUUACUUGUUUGCAGAUGAUGAACUUUAGUUCAAAUAUUGUCUCAUGCUUGUGAACCCCAAGGAAAAUGCAUCAUUACCUACUUUGGAAUCUUCUUAUGUACUUGCAUCCUUGUUUGACAUACUCAUGCUUUGGUCGUAUGAAUCAUAAUUGGUGGAUACUAAGUAACUUAAUUAUUUGUGGGCGAGUCCAUGGAUAUUAGAGCUUGUCACCUAAAAAAGGUUAGAUAAGUUGUGUUUUCAGAUAGAAUUCAUGGAAGCAUGCUUGAUAUUAUGAGAGGAGGAACCCAAAUUUAUUUGGAGUACUAUUUUAUAUGGAUUGAUUUGAUUCCUAAUAGAUCCCUUAACCAUUUUAAUAGUGUAAUGUCCCUUCAGGUCAUUUUCUUAAUUUCCACUUAUUUUUGUCAUUUAGAACUUUCCUAUUGUUGCCCCAAGUCAUUUUGACUUUAAGAACUGACAGUUUGGUUACUGGACAAAUCCUUUAAUUUUUAGAGCCAAUUCUCAAUUUUAAAGCCUUCACUAAAUGAAAUUGGCUACAAGGAAAAAAACACUAGUUAAACAAUCUCAUUUGCUAAUUUUAACUGUUCCGACAUAUUUAGAACAUUGAUUUUAGGUUAGGCGGACCCUUGGCUCGGGUCUCAAGACUCCUAAGUUCAUUUUGAGAUAUUCAUCAAAAGUUAAAAAAUGGCAAGUGGGUGCGGGACCCACUUUUUAUCAAAACAACCUUGGAUGGAUAUUUGGACUGCUCCAUUAUGUGGGUAACAUUAAAUUUUGUAGGGUAGCAUACUCUGCUUGAAUAUUGAGAUUCUAGAUAAUCUCGAGGGGUUGGCAAAGACUUGUUUCGCGUCCGUGAUGCCUUUGAUCAUUUAAGUGAUCUUUCAUGUCCCAGUGAAUAUACCAUUAGCAACACAAUUAUCGUAUAUGCAACCCCCUUGGUAGAGGAGCAAGUAUUGUGUACUCGAUACUGUUGUCACAAAUGCUACAUCUGCUUAGUUAGCCUAGUAUUUCUUAAGAGAACAGAGGAUUGCAUAGGCGAUCUAUAUGCUAUGCCACUAGUAUUUCUCAAGAGAACAGCGAGUCGAUGUUCGCUUAAGUGAUACAUGCAUACCUUGAAAGAAUAUAAAUAGCCCCUUUAGCCAAUUUUUCACCAUUUCUUAUCUAUUCUCUAAAAUCUUAAACCCAAAAAAAUAGUUGUUCUUUGGAGAAUCGACUGUGGGUGAUUGUGGAGCCUUAGAAUCAUUAAUUUAUCCAAUUUUCCAUUAAAUUUGUGGUAAGAUUCCCAUUAUUUUAAUGGUUCAUUUCCCAAUUUUUAUCUAAAAUCCUAAAAAGUUUGGUGACUUAAUUUUAACACCAAUAUAGCUCAGAAUCCACCCAUUUUUAGGAUAAAGUUUGCUUGAGCAUAGAGGGACGUUGUCUUGGGUUCAACUAUGUGAUUUCCCAAAAUGGUCCCCUGAUACGCUCAAAUUACAACUCUAAUUAGAGAGUGUAAGCGAUUGCUGCCAAAUUUAGAACCCAACGAGAAUGGGUGUCAAAUCCCAUAAGGAAUACUGAUUUCACUAAGUAUUGUGGUUGUUAUUGACCUGUUGACCAAAGGUUCUUGAAAAGAGGGAUAUUUUGAUAUAUCAAUUAUAUACAAAUAUUUGUCACAAAAAGUAAUCUAACUGUAGGUUAUAUUGCUAAUAGUAAUUUAAUAAGAGAAUCAAACUAGAGUUAUGGUUACCAAGAUGCUUAAGCAACUAGGGUUGUGAACUAUUUUGGAUUCACAAUGAACAAUUCUUAUUGCAGGAGUAAUUGAAUUCUAUGGUUUACCCAUUAGUUUCUCAACAUAAAUGAGUAACUUAUCCCUUAAUUCUUUCAAACUUAAGGAACUUAUUAUUAGUUCAACUAUAGUCUCACAUGGGUUGAGCUGGUUAAGUCAUCUACCCUCUAUUCCAAGGUUAAAGUCUUUAGAUUUAUGUAAACCCUUUCUUUUCCGAACAAUCACUUUUCUACUUGAACAAGUGUUGUUCUUGGGCUCACUUUUCAAGCUUGCAACCAAGAAAAGUCAUUAAAGUGAAGAAGUGUUUAUGCAAUAUCAAUUACUGAUGGGAAUCUACUAGAUUCACAACCCAAAAUCAGCUUUUUAUAUCAAGUCUCCCAUACCCCUAGUUAUGGGAGCUUAGCCACACAUUUCCACCCAAGAAAGAGAAGAAACCACUGUGUUAUUCAUUAAUUAAUUCAAAGUUUACUUACAAAUAGUCAUAAUUGUUGUUCUUCAAUCUUCAAUAGAAAAUAUGAUAAAGGAAUCUAGAUCAACACAUCUCCAAUGAAUCUUAGAGAAAUACUAUGUAAUAAUGUAUUUUUCAGUAUGGAAAACCUUGUAAAAAAAUUAAGAGAUGGAAAGAAAGAUCCCUAAUAAAACCUAAGGCCGAGUAUUUAUAUGUUCACCGGUAAAAAGAAUUUAAAAUUCAAAAUGAUAAAAUCCGCGUCCAAAGUGACGGCUAAAGUGGUGAUCUGUCGAAAGUCUGACGGUUCACCAAAUUAGCCGUCGCUGAUGGUCCGUGAAAGCCCAGUUCUAUUUAAGUCUGACGACCAAAGUGGUGGUCCAUUGGAAGUGUGGAGGUCCACCAUAUAGGCCAUCACUGAUGGUCCUAGAGAGCCCAGUUCUGCUUGAAACUGAUAGCCAAAAUAGUGGUCCGUCAAAAAACUGAUGGUCCACCAUAUGGGCCAUCGCUGAUGGUCCUGGAGAGAUGCGUUCUGUUUAGGCCUAAUGGUUAGUUGGUGGUCCGUCGCAAGACUAAUGGUCCCCCCACAUGGGCUGACACUGAAUAUUUUGAGAUUUCUAGUUCUAUAUAACACGGAUGGUUGAACUGGUGGUUCAUCACAAGACUGACGGUCCACCAUUUUGACCAUCAGAAGUGUUUUUCUUCUAAUUUUGUCAGUCUUUUCCUGUUGCUGGCUCCUUACCACGAAAAACUAAAAACCAAUAUUAAAUGCAAACUUGGUUUCUUGUAAACAUUCAAUUUUCCCAAGAAAAAGAUGAAAAAUGUUCCGUCAAAAUUCAAAACAUCAACACCCUCAACUUAAGGUCAUUGCUUAUCCUUAAGCAACUCAGCACCAAAUUGCAAAUAUGAACAAUACAAUGACAGACAUUUACUACUUAACCAUUUCUCACCUAACCACUUACUCGUUAUCCAAAUCAUGUGGUUUAACUUGUCAGAGUCUAUGACCAGCAUUGUUUCAAAUUCAAUUAUCCAGACAACAUGGAUACAAUAAUCUAUAGUGAUCAGCCAAAUUAAGUAUGACUCAGGUUGCCCUCAUAGACAAGGUGAUCCACCACUCAGUAUAUUUUGUGGAUACAAAUCAAAACCUUCUCACUCAUCAAAGAAGUAACCAACAUAGCACAUGUACCUAUAAGCUUUCCUUUAUCAUCCAACGCCCCCUUUAUAGUUGAGUUCCAAGAUCAAACAAGUUUUUUCUGGGCUAGAAAUGAGGUAUCAGGCUAGGGUAGGAAGGAAUUUUUGGUAAAAGUAACUAAGAACUAGGCUUUAUCUUGCUUUGUCUUCAAAUUCUUCUUACUAAGGCAAAUGCUUUGCUACCUCACUUAACCUUUUCUAGCUCAUUCAUGGUUCAUCGCAAUAACACCCCUUUUUUUUUAUAUAUAUACACAAGAAUCAGGCACCCACGGCUUAGGCUGAUGCCAUAAGUCAAGGUGCAUAUUGUCUUAACUAGACCAGGGCCAAAUGCUCAAAUUCAAAUUCUAGAACAACUUUCCAUUAGGCAGUUAAUCAGUCCUAUAAUAGCCACCCUUAACUUAGGUGUUUUGCCUAAGUUUAGGUACACAUUGCCCAUUACUAGGCUAGGUACAGAGGUAGGAGUCAACAACUGAAAGAGAGUAAACUAGAAUGAUUGGUGAUGAAGAAAAAUUUACAUAGUAGGGUUAAUUGCUUUGUCUAAGUGGACUAAAAGCUCAUGGUGGCUUGCCAUCCUUUCUUAUCUCAUCAACUACAAUAAAACCUCAACUGAACCAGGCAAGUUCGAUGUACUAUAUACUAUAUAAAAACUAAUACAAAAUACUCGCACACACAGUGACAACUGAGUCAUACUCAUUCUACUAUUUUUAAGAUGUGCAUCACAUGUCAUGUGUAUUACAGAUUAAUGCCAGCUAGAGAUUCACUAAUAGUUGCUCACAUAUCCUAUGAGAUAAAGGUAAAUAGUAAAAUAGAAAUAGUCAUAGUUUAAUGCCAACAUCAUUCAUCAUCCCUAUUUAUAACAAGAUACUAACACCAAUAGCACUUUUAUUUCAUGGACUAACAUCAACAACAUAAAAAGAUUUAAAAAGAAGAAAAAUCCAAAUCUAAAGUUAAACCUAGAAAAGAAAGAUGCAAACUAAACAUGAUCCUAGACAUAUCUAUUUUCCUAGAUAGCACAUGGUAGGGGUUCAUAAUAUCGGCAACACAAACCACCGAUGGUACAAGUACACCAGCCCCACAGAAAAACACAUCCAUUGUCCUCAAAGCAUUAAAUUAAAGUACAAAGGAAUCUAUGAAGUAUGGUUACGAUCUUGCAUCCUCACCUGGUGCAAUAUUGGCCCCUAUGGUGUUAGAAGCACUCAAAACCUCCCCCUCUAAUACUGGAGGAAACAUCUCUUGGAUUGAGCCUGAAAUUUUCCCUCUUGCUGGGGCAACACUAGUAGAUACUCCUGCCGCUUCAUCUUCUCCUCUCAUCUUUCUUUUUUCUUCAUCUUUCCUUGAUUUCUUUCAAUCUCUCUUUAGAUUAUGCUAUUCGUGUUGAUUUGGUGUGAUUGUUUAUCUCUUUCUCCUCUUUUCUCGUUUCCUUACAACUCGCUCAUCCAUGCGUUGCUUUUUUUUAUCUUUGAUGGGUCUUCCCAUCAGAUCAACAAUACCCUCAUCAUCAUCACUUGCAACUAAGGCUGGGUCUAAAAUAUUCUGAUGUAGUUGCCUUCUCUUUAACUCUACUAUAUCAGCCUUUGCCUCUCAAAUUCAGCCAUGAGAUUUGCACUAUCAGGGAGAGACAGUGCAUCUAGCCUUUGGUUGAUGCGGUGCUCCAUGCUGUCAAUGCUAAAGUUAAUAGUUUGGAAUGGAUGGAUUGCCUCAGCUAUAAUUUCAUCAACAAAAGCUUAAAUUUUGAUGCCCAUUUAUCUAACUAUCUCUGAAACCUCUUUUAUAGCUUCACUAAUUUUGCAAAAUUCUCUUGUGUUAACCUGUAUUCGGCAAAGUCUGCUCUUCCCAUAUAUUAUGCAGAACCCGACCCUGCAGAAGUACCUGGAGGCACAUAUUCUUAUGUUACCUAAAUGAUGAUGAGGAAUGGCAUACUUACAGAAAUUUCUGUAGCAUCAGGAGUUGGUGCAGAUUGAGUUUGGUAAGUUAGAGGCUUGGUGACACACAUCAUGAACUUUAAGUCAUUUUUUGACUUCUUAAUGUCCUAUCUAUGUGUAGCCAGGAUUUCAUUGUCAACUCCAUGAAUCAGGGGCACACCGGCCUGUUUGCAUAACUAAGUAAUUAAGCAUGGGAAUGGCAAUGCACUGCUUAUUUUAUAUUCCUUCACAAACAUCUCAUCAACAAUAAUCUAGCUGAAGUCAACUUGCAACCCUGAAACCAAACUUGCCUCCAAUAUGGCUCUGAGUUUAUCUAAGUUUCCAUAACCUUUUGUUGGCAUCAGCCUCAAGCAAACAACAGCCAACCAGAACUUAUCCUUGAAGCUAAUGGAAUAUUUUUCAAUACACUCUCGGGGAUUGGUCAACCAAGAGGGGUUUCCAUCAUCAGUCAAUAACAAAGCCAACCAAGGCAUCUGAGUAGAUGAAGUUCUCAACCUAUUCUCAAGAUCAGUUAUAGCAAGUGGAGCCUCAUAAUCUGGACCAAAGAGUAUCCUAUUAAUUGUUUGGGCUGAGAUAUUGAUAGUGACUCCUCAAACAGGUACAGACUCUUUGUUCGGUAAGCUUGUAAUAGAUGUCCUCUUUGGACAGUCCUUUUCUACCAGUGCAAGAUAAUUGGUAAAGAAUUCUCUUAUCCAAUUCAAUUGAAACACACCUGGCUGUCUACUCAUCCAUGCUAGUUCAUACUUAUUAAAAUGGUGUUCCAACUCUGGAUACUCAAGUAGCUUCAUUGUCACAAUCUGAUGUUUCUCUGCAAAUGGCCUUUUUAUCUCUCUUGUUGUAUGUAUCAAUUAGUCAUAGUUUCUCUCGUGCUCCCUCUAUGUUCCAUAUAAUCGCCUCUUAAACUUAAUGAUCCUUACACUUGAUAACAUUGGCAUCCUCAGGUUCAAUAUCCAUAUGAGUUGCUUCCAUUUGUUCUGCCACAUUGGCAGCCUCAGUUUCACCCACAGUAGGCACAGGUUGAGAUGUAGCAAUCGUUGCUUCAUGUUGGCUUGAGCUCUUACUGCUUGUACUACUGUCUCUCUCCUCUUUAGUAUGAGAGAGAAUUAGAGGUUCCGUUUCCCGUUGCCUGGUGUUGUAAGUAGGUGCAGGUUUGUCUCUACAUCUUUAGGAUCUUCCUCCUCUAUUUAGUGGUAUUUUACGAGCCAUAUUCCCAGAAACAUAAGUAAGGAAUUAAGUUAUAAUGCAAAAACAGCCUAAACAGUGAAAACUUAGACUUGACGUCCACACUGGUGGUCCAUCGGAUAACUGGUGGUCUACCAAGUAGGCCAUCAGGUCUUACCAAAAGACCUGAAAGUUAAGAGAGUUGCAACGGUUCAUAUGGUGGUCUAUCGCAAAGUUGACGGUCCACCUCUUUGGCCGUUCCAUCUUAACCAGUAGGUGUCAUUUAUAGGGUUCUUGCAAUGGUCUAUUUGGUUAUCCGUUGCAAAGUUAACGGUUCACCAUUUCAACCAUCACACCAUUUUCUUCAGAUCUAAGAUUCAAUUCGGCAUUUUGUCAAACAUUUAGCACGCAAUCCCUAUUUUUCUAGAAAAAAAUGAUACCAACUUCACAUUUAUGAACACAAAUCCACACUUUUGAGCAUACGGUUACUUAGACAUCACCCACAUAAAGUAUAUUAUCAUUUUGGACUCAAAACAAGUUAAAACAAAAGAAGAAAACAAGAUGAACUUUUAUCAACAACCAAUUAUUCAUUUCAUGUUGUAUCAGUUCAAAAAUAAAAGACAUGGAGGUUUCAUACCUUGAUUUUGCAGAAGUUACUCUUUUACUUGCUUGGAAAUAUUGAAAAUAAACUUACUUAACACUCUACAAUUUCAUUCAAGAGUUCUUGAGAUGAAGAUAAAGAAGAGAGGUGGUCACUUAAAU
rnacentral:lncRNA from 1 species